rnacentral:rRNA from 1 species
UACGGCGAGUGAAGAGGGAAGAGCCCAAGAUUGAAAGCUGGCGUCUUCGGCGUCCGCAUUGUAAUCUCAAGAAGUGUUUUCCGCUUCGGACCAUGCCUAAGUCCCUUGGAAAAGGGCAUCAUAGAGGGUGAUAAUCCCGUACAUGGCAUGGAGCGCCCGAAGCUUUGUGAUACGCUUUCUAAGAGUCGAGUUGUUUGGGAAUGCAGCUCAAAAUGGGUGGUAAAUGCCAUCUAAGGCUAAAUAUUGGGGAGAGACCGAUAGCGAACAAGUACAGUGAUGGAAAGAUGAAAAGAACUUUGAAAAGAGAGUUAAACAGUACGUGAAAUUGCCAAAAGGGAAGGGUAGGAGGUCAGAGAUGCGGCCUGGGAUUCAUCCUUGCUUUUGUUUGGUGUUUUUCCCGGAUUGCAUGCCAAUUACGGGUUUGGGACCCGGAAAAGGGUCGUAUGUCAAGGCACUCUCUCCUGUACCCUAAUGUAAAACGCCUCCAGACAGGGCUGAUGUCCCCCCAACUACUACAAUUCUCCUAAUAUGUUUAUACUCUUCCUCUCUAGCCGCCCCUCUAGGAAUCCUUGCCA